rnacentral:rRNA from 1 species
GGGAACGUGCCCUUAGGUGGGGGACAACAGUUGGAAACGACUGCUAAUACCGCAUAAGCCAAUUUGGGAAAGCCUUCGGGCGCCUUGGGAUCGGCCCGCGUUAGAUUAGGUAGUUGGUGGGGUAAAGGCCUACCAAGCCUACGAUCUAUAGCUGGUUUGAGAGAAUGAUCAGCCACACUGGGACUGAGACACGGCCCAGACUCCUACGGGAGGCAGCAGUGGGGAAUAUUGCGCAAUGGGCGAAAGCCUGACGCAGCAACGCCGCGUGAGGGAUGACGGCCUUCGGGUUGUAAACCUCUUUCAGCAGGGACGAAGCGAGAGUGACGGUA